CCUCCCUCUCUCUCUCCCUCCCUCUCCUGCCUCCCUCCCUUCCUCCCUCCCUCUCCCCCGUGGGGAACAGACCCACUGAACCGCUGCGGCUCCAUCGGCAGGGAAGGGCAGGUUGUUAGAGCGCAGCAUGAAAAAACACGAGACAGAUCAAUCACUGCGAGCUGCUGGCAGCUCCCUUUCUCCUCCCCCUCCACUCCAUGGCUGGAGAUGGAGAGAUGUAGUUAAGGAGACACACAAAACGCGGUUUGCUUGUUGUACUUCGCAGAAGAAAUACGAGCGAGAAGAGAGGUCCAGAUCCACUUCCAGAUUUGCUGCAGAAAGGACGGCCCCAAAAGCUUUCUUUAUUUUUUUUGUUAUUCAAAAAAAACCCACUCCUGCGUAGUUUUAGUUUCCUGUAAUGAGGAAGCAUUAGCUAAGGCACCUAAGAAUGCCUGUGCCUCCCUCUGCGUGCAUGACUCUCUCCUUUGUACUCCAAGUUCCUAAAUAAACCUUUCCUUUAGUUUUGGGAAA